UUCGGAAUAGAAGAGAAGACCAUGGAGGCGUCAGCAUUGGGUAUAACACUGUUACGGAAGCCCUGCCUUUAGGGACGGUAAAACCACCACACAGUAACGGAGAGGAUCGGUAAAGGUAGACACCGGGAAGCUGAGAAUCUGAUAUCUGGGACGAAAAGUCAACAUACAUAACCUGCCUCAAGGUUGAAUGUUUUAUUGGUGAAGAUUUUCAAAGCCAUUUCCAUAUGAAUAUACAACAGUAUCGAGUAGCAAAAGAAAAUGAAUGUAAAAUCGUGGUAUUUUAAUAAAACGGUUCAGUCGCUUUAACGUCAAUUAUUGGUUAAUUGUUUUUUUCAAAGUAUUCCAUAUUUAAGCUUCCCGUUACCAAGUUUCUUAAGAGAUGACACAAGUCACCUUACACCCCUGAAACCUCGGGACUAAUAUUAGAUAGUGACUUAAUCAAAUGAAAAUCCCCUGUCAUAUUUAAGGGUAUGUAUAAUUUCAAAACUUAUUUCCGAAAGUCGCAAGUAUUUAAUCAAAUAUUGUAAUUUUGUAUUUGUUUUGGGAAAGGGCGUUGAUAAGUUGCAAAAACUUGUGCCCAAUCCUUUUGUACAUUUUGACAAUAAAAUAUGUUUGAAUAAAAAAAAAAGUAUUUAAUCUCAACGGGGUUUAAUCCACAUAAUCGUAUUUUACGAGGGCAAAACAGUGACAUGGAACGUCCAGGUAACAAUAGUGGUUCAACCUACAAAUUUAGGAAAACAAUAUAUUGCGACCUUUUACCUUGCGGUGAAGGUCAGGGUCACCAAAUGACAGUGAACUCUGUAACACCUGUCAAUGAUGUAGAAAUAUAUGGAGCGUUAUCACUGUAAUAUUAACGGUUCAGAAGUUAUGGUUAGGACAAUUUUAUAUUUGAGAAAGAUGAGAAAAAGAAAAAAAAUUCAUUAUGGCCACUUUCAAUUGAAGGAAAAACAUCAAUAUAAAAACACACGAACAAUAAUAUAUCUAUUUAAAUGAAAAAUUUAAUAAAAUAUAUUUCAUAUCAUGAAAUCGACAAUAGAUAUACAUAUAAUUGAGUAUCAUAAUCAUUUGUGACACAAUAUUUGACAAAAACACGGAACGUGGGACAGGACAGGAUAAUGAAUUGGUGGUCUGGGUAAAUACAAUCAAGAGUACUAAUUAAGUGAACAAGUCUCAUGCGAACGUUUUGUCUCUUUAUGCCUCAUUCAAAUAUUUUCACUCGGUCUCAUACAAAUAGUUUCCAUGCUUCAUACAAUAAGAGGAUCAGAAAAAGAACUUUAAAAUUUGCUAUAUGUCCGCAUGACCCUGCGGCAAGACCAAUCAUUCAUACUUAAUUGGUUCCAGUAACCAAAUUAUGCUUCAGAUCAACAUCAUUUCAUUCCGACACAAGAA